GUUAAAAUUUAAUGAAAAAAAAAUAAAAUAAAUAUGAUCAACCUAGUAGCUAUUUCAUAUUAUUAUUUUUCGAUGUGUGUAAACAAAUACCUAUGCGUACCUAUGCGCAUGCGCGAUGCGGGAAAUUGGAAACAUCAUAACAAAGAUGGCGAACACCCGAUCUAAGUGGAAGGGUUCUGAAUCAGUUUUAACCGAGAGCACGAAGAAACGAAGAAUCGAGAACGUGAUUUUAACUUCACAAAGACGAACACGUAUCUUAGAGACAGAGCAAGCAGAUGGCAUCAGUUAAAUAAGACCGAAGGGAUUAAAACAGACCCUCCUUUGGCCAAGCUAAUGCCUUGAACAGUUUUGAAAGCAAGCCUGAGAUCUACAUGUAGAGCGUCUGGUCAUAAAGAAACUGAAGCCAUCCAGCCACUACGGACGACACAAUUACUAGUCGCUCUUAGAUAUCACAGGAUUUAUAACACAAAAGUUCUCGGAGGACAAUAGUGCCGUACAAGGUGGAAAGGACAUACCAACACAUCCAGGGACUCAUCAAUCUGAUAGUGGCCAACAGAAUAACGGAUAGAACUGGAAUAUCUAAACCAAAACCCUUGCAUUAAAUAGAUCCCAGAAGAUUCAAACUCCUAGCCCAUGUUCCUCCACCAUCUACUGCCCAAAUGGUUUAGGAGAAGAAAUCCCAAUUAAGAUGAAUUGGAGUAAUUGAAAUUUUGAGACUAAUCACGUUCCAGAGACUAUUACUUUUGAAUAUCUGUCCUUACGUUUAGUAGCUGACCUGGUCCGAAGGACCAAGGUGAGUAUGCCAUACUGAGGCGUCCGGCAUUCGUUUGUCAACAUUGUGAACACAAUAUUUGAAUAACUUGAGUAAAUAUCAGAAUAUACCAAAUGAUAAAACUUUAUACGCAGCCAUAUAUCGAUAAGAUCUCGGACAACUUCAAAAAUAGAAAUUAUUGGACAGUAGUUUGCAGAGUUAUUGCCCUUUGUAAUGGUCUUAUUAUUAACUUUUUUUUAGUGCACUGGUCAGAAUGGAAACUCUUUUAAAAAUUCUACUAGUCCUGAACAAUUAAAUGGAUUUGAUGAAAUUUGGUCAGGAGAAUUAUGUGGCAAUGUUAUAUGUUGCAUAAAUGAAGUGUCAUCAUCAUCUGAGUGGCACCUUUCGGGGCACAAUAAGAGAAUUACCCAGUAUAGCAAAAAAAAAGAUUAAACUCAUUUUUUUUUCAAGAAUUACAUCUAGUCCACUUGUAGUUUGAACCAUUGUUGGGAGAGGUAGUUCAAAAGUAGAAAAAUGUUUGAAAUGUAACUUAAAUUUGAGUAUUUUGCCAUCAUUACUGAAUUAUCCAGGUUAGCGAUGCAGGCCCUCUGGGCCUUUAUAUUAGUUUAUUGGUAUAAUGUUACUAUAAUAGCUUAGCUGUUAUCCAUUCCAUAAAUGUCAUAUGAUAAUCAGUGCAGCCUUAAUUUCAAAAUUUAUAUAAUCUCAAGAGACCAACAACAUUGUCUGGUCUGAAAUUUAAAUGCUAUAGUCAAAAAUGAUUAUUCAUAGCUGUACAUGUGUGCACUAUUGAAAUAUUCAUGUUAACACUCACAAGUAAUUCAUAAACUCUCAAAAUUCAUUGAUGUCAACACCCACUAGUGCUCAAUAGCCUUUAAUGUCAACACGCACUAGUACUCAAUAGUCAUGGAUGACAACACUCACUAAUACUCAAUAGUCAUUUAUGUCAAUACUCACUAAUACUCAAUUGUCAUACAGUCUUUAAUGUCAACACUCACUAGUACUCAAUAGUCACGGAUGACAACACUCACUAGUACUCGAUAGUAACAUAUGUCAACACCAACUAAUACUCAAUAGUCAUUUAUGUCAACACUCACAAAUACUCAAUAGUCAUGUAUGUCAACACUCCAUAAUACUCAAUAGUCAUUGAUGUCAACACUCAAUUAUCACUGAUGCCAACAACUGUCAUUGAUGUUAAGUCACUAGUCAAUGCUUACAUCUGAGCAAGACAAUAAAUACAAUAAAUACAAUGUGGUAAAUUCUUUAUUUGCAUGUUUGACUUUUCUCAGUGUUUUCUAUAUCAAAACUAUUUGUGAGACAAAUUGUACUGUGCAUUUACUGUUUUGUGUAUUAUCAACAUCAUAAGUCACUGUUCUGUUGAUAUUCUGAUAAAUUAGGGUUGCAUCUUUAUUAGGUCACCUGAGAUGAAAGUAUGAAGUGACCUAUUCUAACUGACUUUUGUCCGUCGUCUUGCGUUGUUUGUCUUUAAACAAUUUGUCAGUAAGCUUUCAUGGUCAAAAGGUCAACCAAAACUGUGGAUUACAUAGGGACCUGAGGGGCAGGGUCAAAUUGACUAAAAUUUAAAAGAUCUCAGCUCCCAGAUAUUUUUUUUAUAUUUAUUUUAUUUUUAAGACAUUAUCAAUACAUAAAUACAUAAAAGUCACACACACAAACGCACAUCGAUUCCAGUAUGACUGGUUUGUUAUCAACAUAUAUAGUCUUAAUAUCAUCUUCAAUGUCAUCAUUACUUAUAUUUUUCAUCAUCAUAGUCUCAUCAUCCUACUUAAACAUUAAAAUCAUCAUCGUAAUACUAAUCAUCAUCAUACUAAUCGUCAUCAUCAACAUACUCAUCCCCAUCAUCAUCAUCAUCAUAAUUUAUAUAGGGAGAUCAGCAUUUGUUUUGAUUUCUAUUGAAAUUCAUUCCAACUUCAUUAAUAUUAUCAGCAUGUGAUGACAGCCUGGUGGCAUGCACAUGUUGGCCCUGACUGACCUUCUGGGCUGAUGGGCGAGGCUAAAAAGGGUCAAUUAAAUUGAAUAUUUCAAAACUCAGGUGACCAUUAAGGCCAAUGGGCCUCUUGUUUUACAUAAGCCAGUAUCGUUGAAAACUGAUGCAUAUGAAAUAUUGUAAAUAAAACAAAAGUUUUCCAUGAAUUCAAUAAUUUAUUUUGGUUUCAUAUCAAACUUUUUCACUGCACAGGUGUUAAAACAACUUCCUUGAAAUAAGAUAAUUCAGCUUAUGUGUAUGGGCAAACAGACAAGGUGAUUAUGAAUAAAAUGCUUAAAUUUUCA